rnacentral:lncRNA from 1 species
AUAUUAUGUUGAUACUCCUAAAUAUAAAGCUUUAUUAAGACUGUCACAUAAACUUAACAUGAACCAUGAAAAUGAGGUCAAGGUCAGUUGAACCAUAUGCCAGCAGACAUGUACAGCUAACAAUGUUUCCAUACAACAAAUAUAGUUGACUUAUUGCUUAUAGUUUAAGAAAAUAGACCAAAACACAAAAACUUAACACUGAGCAAUGAACCGUAAAAACCAGGUCAAGGUCAAAUAAAAC